rnacentral:lncRNA from 1 species
CUGUAAGUUGUGCAUGCAUAAAUACCGCCCAGAGAGACCAACACAGAAGAAACCAAUGAAACAUCUGUCAUCACUUACCGAUUUAGCAUUGACAUCGACGCCUGCUUUGGCGACCAUCUCUGCCAUCUCAAGAUUGCCGUGCUUCACUGCCCAGUCGAGUGCCGUCUAGGAAUUCAAAAACAGAUUGUCAAUCAAGGAGAGCUGUUGGCCUGGAAAAAACAAUGAACAAGAGAUGUGACAACCUCAAUUAUUUGGUGACGCUAAGAGCUUCGAGACAGCUCCUGCUGGAAAGAGCUGUUGGGAAGCCUGGGGGUGUCAAGUCGCCUAGAAAAAUGGCAGGUGACAAGGACAACGCUUUUUUUUCCCUCCCCUCCAUGCUACCCAGCCC